GUGAUAGGUGGGUAUGAAUUUAGGUGCGUUUAAAAUGAAGGGGGCAAACGCAGUUCGACGGCGAGAAAAAAGGUGGACCUUUGUUGGGUUAAUUGCUAAAAAUGCCACAGCCCGAAUAUCAAAAUUACACAAUUAAAAAUCAACAAAAAUAUUAAAUAAUUUGUUUACAAACCCCAAAUUGAAACCCCUCGCAAUCCGAAUCCAAACCCCAAAUCGAAGAAGGAUUCUCCUCCUCAAUCCUUCUCUAUGGCCACUCUUCAGCUGCACCCCUGCGCCCUCCUCGACUCGCUCCACGCCUCCUUCUCCCGCCUUCGAUCUCCCCGCUUCCUCGUCGUCCGCCGCUUCUCUGCCGUCUCCCCUUCACUGCGCUCCCUUCGCGAGCGAAGCGAUCGACCUAAGGCUCAUCGUUUCCCCGAAAACGACCUCCAAAGGCCUCCCUGGAUCAACGGAUGGAGAGGACCCUCCUUCCGACCGUUCCCGAAGUGGCCUCCAUCCGCUGUCGACUAUCGGCAUGGUCUUUCCAGCGACGACGAAGAGUUCGGCACUAGUAGGAGCACCGGAAGCAGCACCAUGUCUAGGAUUGUGGAGAAAUUGAAGAAAUUCGGGUAUAUUGAUGAUUCCGAGGAGGUAAAGGAGAGUCCUUUACCGGAGAAAGGAUCGGUGGAGGACAUUUUUUACGCUGAAGACGGGAUUUUGCCUGAUUCGAGGGGUGGGUUAUCAUUUGAUUUGAAUGAGGAAAUAAGGUUUCCGUGGGAGAAGCCAUCUGAAGCGGACAAUGUGGCUCCAGCGAGGAAGAAGAGGACCAAAACUUCGUUGGCUGAACUGACUCUACCAGAAGGAGAGCUGCGGAGGUUACGGCACAUGGCGAUUAGGACAAAAUCAAGAACGAAGAUUAAAGGGGCUGGGGUCACGAAGGAGAUUGUGGAUUUGAUUCAUGAGAAGUGGAAGACGGAGGAGGUAGUGAGGCUUAAGUGCGAGGGUCCUCCCGCACUUAAUAUGAAGCGAAUGCAUGAGAUCUUGGAGAGGAAAACAGGAGGGUUGGUGAUAUGGAGGUCAGGAACCUCUAUUUCUUUAUAUAGGGGUGUGACCUAUGAGAUCCCUCAACCUGUGAAGAUACGGUAUCAAAGUCCUGAAAGAGCUGGUUUAAAUUCCUUCAAACGAGAUACAUAUAGUCUUGCUCAGGCAUCUGAGUUUAGUAGAGGCAAUCAUAUGGAAGAUUUUCAUGAAUGUGUAUCGGCUGAAGUGGAUAAGAGAAAAGAUCUUCAACUUCCUCCAGAAUCUCACUAUGACAAAGAGAUUGACAAACUAUUGGAUGAUCUAGGUCCUCGUUACACAGAUUGGCCUGGAAAUGGACCACCCCCUGUAGAUGCUGAUUUGCUUCCAGGUGUAGUUCCUGGCUACGAACCUCCUUUCAGGAUUCUCCCUUAUGGAGUGAAACGUACUCUUGGACUAAAGGAAGGUACAGCAUUACGCAGACUUUCAAGGGUAUUGCCUCCUCAUUUUGCUCUUGGGAGAAGCAGGCGACAUCAGGGGUUAGCAUUAGCCAUAGUGAAGCUUUGGGAGAAAAGUUCCAUAGCAAAGAUUUCUUUGAAGCGUGGAGUGCAGCUCACCAGCAGUGAAAGGAUGGCGGAAGAGAUCAAGAAGCUAACUGGGGGUGCAAUCCUUUCUAGAAACAAGGAUUACAUUGUCAUUUAUAGAGGAAAGGAUUUCUUGUCCCCAGAAAUUACGGAGGCAUUGCUUGAGCGAGAAAGAUUAGCCAAGACCCUACAAGAUGAAGAAGAACAAGCACGACUAAGAGCAUCAUCCUCGGUUGCGUUAAAUGACAUGUCAGUUAUAGAACCUGGGAUAGCUGGUACACUUGGUGAAACACUAGAAGCUCAUGCUAGAUGGGGAAAUGAUAUUGAUGAUGAUCAUGCGAACAAAAUGGUGAGAGCUGCAGAGAUGACUAGACAUGCCAACAUUGUGAGGAAGCUAGAGAGGAAUCUUCUCAUUGCUGAACAGAAGGUAGACAAGGCUGGUAGAGUUUUAGCAAAGGUGGAAGAAUCAUUGAAGCCGGCUGAACAUGUUAAGGAUCCUGAACCAAUAACUGAGGAAGAAAGGUUCAUGUUCCGGAAGCUAGGUUUGAGGAUGAAGGCAUUUUUGCUCCUUGGUAGGAGAGGAGUUUUUGAUGGCACGAUUGAGAACAUGCACUUACACUGGAAGUAUAGGGAAUUGGUCAAGAUUAUUAUCAAAGCAAAAACUUUUUCACAGGUUAAGAAUGUUGCUUUGGCACUUGAAGCAGAAAGUGGGGGUGUCCUAGUGUGUGUGGACAAGGUCUCCAAGGGAUUUGCCAUUGUUGUGUAUAGGGGGAGGGAUUAUCACCGGCCUCCUACAUUGAGACCUAAGAACCUACUGACAAAAAGAAAGGCUUUAGCACGUUCCAUAGAGCUCCAGAGGCGCGAGGCUCUAAACCGUCAUAUUUCGAAUUUGCAAAAGAAAGUGGAUCAACUUAGAUCCGAACUGGCACAAAUGGACCUAGCUAAAGAUCAAGGCGAUGAGGAGUUGUAUGCCAAGCUAGACUCUGCAUAUUGUUCUGAAGAUGAAGAAGAUACAGAGGAUGAUGAUGUUGAAGCCUAUUUGAACACUUUAAAUAGUGAUGUUGCCGUCGAUGAAUCGAUGCGCAAUCACAAUGUUCACGAUGAAGAAGUGCAUGAGGAUGAUGAGGGUUAUCCUGAUACUUUUGCCCGUGCUGCUGAAAUUUACAACGUUGAUGAAGAAAAUGGAGAAGAUUGAAGUCGCGAUUGCGACCUUGAGAAAGAUAGUCAGGUCGAUAACAGCGACAAGGAUGAUUCAGAUGAUUGUCUUGAUCCCUCAGCUAGUCUGCUAACAGUUUGCAAAGGGGAAAUACUUUGACGGCGACCAUUUCUGUCAUGGAAUGAGGAAGGAAUUUGUUGUUUUCAGCCUUGAUAGCAAGUCAAUGGACCCUCCAAGUGUUGAACAAAAGUUUCAAGAUUCAUGGAGCCUGUGUUAAAGAGGAUUCUGAGCCUCAAUAAACUCUUCAGUCUCGCAAGUCCUUAGCCUGGAAUAAACAAUAUUAACGGCAACGACAGGGAAGCUACUAGAAUACACCACGUGCGAUUUGUUCUCCAAUCGCCCACGCGGUUAUUUGGACGGCUACGAUCU